UACGAAGGUUGCAAGCGUUAAUCGGAAUUACUGGGCGUAAAGGGUGCGUAGGCGGUUGUUUAAGUCUGUCGUGAAAUCCCCGGGCUCAACCUGGGAAUGGCGAUGGAAACUGGGCAGCUAGAGUGUGGCAGAGGAUGGUGGAAUUCCCGGUGUAGCGGUGAAAUGCGUAGAGAUCGGGAGGAACAUCAGUGGCGAAGGCGGCCAUCUGGGACAACACUGACGCUGAAGCACGAAAGCGUGGGGAGCAAACAGG
rnacentral:rRNA from 1 species